rnacentral:lncRNA from 1 species
UUUAUUAGAAUAGAGAAAGAAUACAAGCCUGAUCAGCCUGCAUUAAGCAGCGUCAGGUAGGAGAAAGUCCAGUUAAGGAUAGAAACAAAAUUAAGUCCUAUUACUAGUAAUGGUGUCAUCCCAGUAAUCCAGAAAGUCCUUAAAGUUGUGUGCUGCUCUCCCUUUCCAAAUCCCCAACCAGUACCAAAUCGUAGCUUUCAUUCUUGUGCAGAUACCGUCAAUGGUGAAAGCUUUAUCCUUAAAGACCUUGUUGUUCCUAACACACCAGAGAGUCCAUAUUGUAGCGUAGGGUAGUAACUCCCAUGCUCUUCCACCUAUGGCAUGGUUGGUUCGCUUUGGCCAAUCUGAUAGUGCUUCGGUUAUAGUCAGUGACUGUAGGAUAACAGCCAGUCCUGUAGGAGAACAUAAGCUAAACUACAUAAGAUACUUUUGUAACUUGUCUAGGUAUUAGCAAGUGAAGUUACCUAUGAAUUAUAUUACAACAUAUGUGCCAUAUUUCUUCUUUCCCAAACCCUAAUACCCUAUACUAUCAAACAUAGCAUAACAAUAACAAAUCAAUACCCAACAUUUCUUGUCUUAGUCUUGAUUCAUUUCAUCUUGAUCAGUCUUCCGUUCGAUAAAAUUCCAACUAAACUCUCCCCGUGCUACACUAUAUAACUUGGAAGGAGUCAACUGUGACAUGAUUUAAAUAGAGCCAAACUCCAGAAGAACUGUAACCCCACAGCAUGUGAUCGAUCCCCCCAACCCCCUCUACAGCAUUAUACUGACUAGGGUACCAUCAGAGUUGAAACCUAGCUCACGUUGGGGUCAGGCACUUCGAGGACACUUCUAGUAUUUGCUAAUCUGAAUUUGGAAGGGGGUUGGGUAGCCUGAAUUGAGUGCAGGUCAUUACAUACCUUUGAUGCAAUCUUAGAAGUAUCUUACCCAGAGCUUCCCUGUUAUGUAAAUUUUUCAGUAGGUCCCCAUACAAAAAAUUUUAUAUGUGUAGCCAACUUGUACGUGGGUGUGUACACCCAAUCAUAUGAUGUCACGUGUCUAUAAAAUGGUUGAAAAACUGAUCAAGCCCACUAGGGUUAACUAAACCCAUACUAGGUUAUAUUAUUAUUGCCACAUGGCAUUUUGUGAUUGGGUGUACACACCCACAUACAAGUAAGCUACACAUAUAAAAUUCUCUGGGUCCCCAUCUACUCGAAUCUGAUCUCAGAAUUUCCAUUGAGAGCCAAUGUAUAGUGGAAGCUGUGAUUUUUCGUAGUGCUCUACCCAUUGAAGGAUUCAAAAUCCAGAUUGCAGAGCAUCCCUUGCAUUGGCUACAGUUUACAUGUAUCGUCGUACAAAUGGGAGGUGCAUAUAACACCAAGAGGAUGAAGGGGAGGGGAUAGGAAGGAGGAGUACCCCUUCUCAUUUCCCACAGGGUCUAAUCAAACAUGUUACCACUCCAAAAAAUAGUAUUUCAUCGCCACUCAUAAUUCUAGACUAGCUAUCCUUCAAACUUUAUAUCAGAAGAAAAUAAUCUUGCAGCUUAACACAAAAUCGUUGACAUAACAGAGUACUCAUACUUGUGUUAUACAUGCACUUACAUCCUAUGCUAAUAUGCAUAAACAAUCAUAAAAAAGACUUUUGUCCGCAACCGCAUUAAACUCACUGCCCAGGAACCCUAACAAUAACCUUUUAGUGUUUGAGAAAUGAGAAUGGGGGAAUCCAAAGAAAUAGAUAACUUAUGUUAUAUUGCAUACAAUCAGUAUACCAACUAUACAAAUCACAAAACAAAUAUUAGAGUUAAUGCAGUUUAGGGGUGUGGUCAUUUUCUAGUAUAAAUCUCGAUUUAAAGUCAAGGACUGAAUUGAAAGUCGCAGUUGAUAAAAUUUUCUUGGUUUGGUAUAAGGCAAAUGGGACUCAAUCAGAUAUCUCGGUCCAAAUUAUUUUACCUCGAUUCAAAUUUUUACUUCAAUCGAUGAUUUAAUCAUCAUGGAGUUUAUCAUACCUGAACAUUAAACUCUCAACUAACUCUUUUAAAUACUAUAAAUAGAGUUGUGGCCUUGUGGGUUCUAUAAAUGCCCAUUUUACCUCUAGGCCAUGGGAUAAUAGAAAAUGUAUAUAUACUGUAUCUUUUUUUGAGCAUAGGGAACCAAACAAGAAUAUUCCCUUGAGGAUAUUGAGUAUCAGUGUUGUUCAUUCACUUCAAUCCACCAAGUCGCGACAUUGGAUUAAUGAUUAUUAUUCGGCUAGGUAAAUCCGACUGAUUUGUUCUACUGUUUAGGUCAUCUUGUACAAUUUGGUGUAGGUGUCUUGCUUUCAAGUUGCUAUUGGAUUAGGGCCCCUGGUCUUGUUAAUAGGAAGAGCUUUGUUACCUACUCCCUGAGUUUUGUUGUCAUUCCUGCCAAUUGAUCUCCUUGUACUUGCUUGCUACUCCUCACUUAGUAAAUGACCAUCUCUUAGGUAAUAAUUCAUGUCACAUUUUCUUUACGAGGUGUGGUUUUUAUUGUUUUAGGUUGGUGGUCUCUCUUGUUCAACUUCUUAAUUACCUCAUAUUCUAUUCGUCCUAAUUAUAUCAAUCCUAUUUUGUAGAGAGCUUCGUAACAGAUUUGGUAGGGUUGGGAGGAGUAUUGUUUUAACUGUUUCGACUUUCGAGUAAUUUUGGAGACUUUGAAAGUCUACUGCUCCAUUUUUAGCUUGUUGCAAUGUUUUUUUUCCCACACUCCAACCACUUGAUUUAGCAAUCUUUUCUUUGCUUCAUGUCAAAUUCGGGUGUGCUUCUUGUGUGAUUUAUUUCUUAGUGGUUUGCUCAGAGCUUUAGUGAAGCUCUUGAUGCUUCAAGGGGGUUGGGGAGUAUGUGUAAAUAGUAAUGCUUGUAUUGUAGCCUAUAGGUUUCUAUGUUGUAGCAGUUGUUGGCUCCUCCCUCUAAUGACAACUCUUAGAAAGGUCUGUCAUAAGGUUUGCCUUAACCCCAUAAAAACUUUUCAUAAAAAAGAAAAUGGUAGGUGACUAGGUGAGAUACCAAAAUUUCGAUGACAUUUUUCAUUUUUUUUUUUUUUUAGCUGAUGGUAAGACACAUUGUGCAACCCCUAGUAGGACAGUAGAACUAAUCCAAAAAGUAGUCUUGGUUUGAUCCCAAGAACAGCCAUCACUAUCCACUACAUACCUGAAUUUCCCAAUUUGAUCCCCUGCUCCUCCCAAAAUUGGGCUAUAAAAAUAGUUUUGUUUCUUGAGCAUAUUAGCAAAUAGUACUACCUAAAUUUCAAUCUAUUUUUUUUUUGGUUGGCAAGCAAGGUUGUGGGGACCCCUACCCCUUUUAAAUUACGUGUAAAAACUUAUAUCAACAAUCCGUUGUUGACGUGUUUCGAACCCACGACCUCUCCACUUUGUGAGAGGGGUGCUACCAUUAAGCCACAGGCUCAUUCGCGACAAACCUAAUCAUGAAUGAAUAAAGAAAAUGUGGGCAUUGCACAGCCUUCAACACAAUUAUGUUUCAUAAGACAUCAAAUUCCAGGCAAGAUUAAGACAUAUAUUUGCCCAUUGCUUCAAAAAUUUAGGCUGGUCUUUCAUUAAUGGCGAAACCAGGUUAAGGUUAAGUCUAUCUCUAAAUUUCUCAU